GACGAACGCUGGCGGCGUGCUUAACACAUGCAAGUCGAACGGAAAGGCCCUGCUUUUGUGGGGUGCUCGAGUGGCGAACGGGUGAGUAACACGUGAGUAACCUGCCCUUGACUUUGGGAUAACUUCAGGAAACUGGGGCUAAUACCGGAUAGGAGCUCCUGCUGCAUGGUGGGGGUUGGAAAGUUUCGGCGGUUGGGGAUGGACUCGCGGCUUAUCAGCUUGUUGGUGGGGUAGUGGCUUACCAAGGCUUUGACGGGUAGCCGGCCUGAGAGGGUGACCGGCCACAUUGGGACUGAGAUACGGCCCAGACUCCUACGGGAGGCAGCAGGGGGGAAUAUUGCACAAUGGGCGGAAGCCUGAUGCAGCAACGCCGCGUGCGGGAUGACGGCCUUCGGGUUGUAAACCGCUGUCGCCUGUGACGAAGCGUGAGUGACGGUAAUGGGUAAAGAAGCACCGGCUAACUACGUG
rnacentral:rRNA from 1 species